UCGCUAUUGGAUGAGCCCGCGUCGGAUUAGCUAGUUGGUAGGGUAAUGGCCUACCAAGGCGACGAUCCGUAACUGGUCUGAGAGGAUGAUCAGUCACACUGGAACUGAGACACGGUCCAG
rnacentral:rRNA from 1 species